GGUGGUAAUGCCGGAUGUUCCACAUGAUCGCAUGUGAUUGUGGGAAAGAUUCUAUCGGCGUGGGAUGGGGUCGCGUCCUAUCAGCUUGUUGGUGAGGUAACGGCUCACCAAGGCUUCGACGGGUAGCCGGCCUGAGAGGGCGACCGGCCACAUUGGGACUGAGAUACGGCCCAGACUCCUACGGGAGGCAGCAGUGGGGAAUAUUGCACAAUGGGCGCAAGCCUGAUGCAGCGACGCCGCGUGAGGGAUGGAGGCCUUCGGGUUGUAAACCUCUUUUGUUUGGGAGCAAGCCUUCGGGUGAGUGUACCUUUCGAAUAAGCGCCGGCUAACUACGUGCCAGCAGCCGCGGUAAUACGUAGGGCGCAAGCGUUAUCCGGAUUUAUUGGGCGUAAAGGGCUCGUAGGCGGCUCGUCGCGUCCGGUGUGAAAGUCCAUCGCUUAACGGUGGAUCUGCGCCGGGUACGGGCGGGCUGGAGUGCGGUAGGGGAGACUGGAAUUCCCGGUGUAACGGUGGAAUGUGUAGAUAUCGGAAAGAACACCA
rnacentral:rRNA from 1 species